GGGCGUGUAGCUCAACGGCAGAGCGGGGGUCUCAUAAAUCCUUGGUUUCGGGUUCAAGUCCCGCCACGCCCACCA
rnacentral:tRNA from 1 species